rnacentral:rRNA from 1 species
GAUGAACGCUGGCGGCGUGCCUAAUACAUGCAAGUCGAGCGAACAGACGAGGAGCUUGCUCCUCUGACGUUAGCGGCGGACGGGUGAGUAACACGUGGAUAACCUACCUAUAAGACUGGGAUAACUUCGGGAAACCGGAGCUAAUACCGGAUAAUAUAUUGAACCGCAUGGUUCAAUAGUGAAAGACGGUUUUGCUGUCACUUAUAGAUGGAUCCGCGCCGCAUUAGCUAGUUGGUAAGGUAACGGCUUACCAAGGCGACGAUGCGUAGCCGACCUGAGAGGGGGAUCGGCCACCCUGGAACUGAGACACGGUCCGAACUCCUACGGGAGGCAGCAGUAGGAAUUCUUCCGAAAUGGGCGAAAGCCUGACGGGGCAACGCCGCGUGAGUGAUGAAGGUCUUCGGUUCGUAAAACUCUGUUAUUAGGAAAGAACAAAUGUGUAAUUAACUAUGCACGUCUGACGGUACCUAAUCAGAAAGCCACGGCUAACUACGUG